CUCAGCUUUCUUUUACUGGUCAUAACAAAAGUCCUAUGGGAAACCAUAUGCUGGUCUGUCAUUUGGGGUUGACAGUUUGAUUCUCUAUUGAACAUGGCUACCAAUUUUUCCCAGUGUAUUUUAAUGUGAUUUGACUUCAUUACAUCACCUCUCAUGGUCCAUACUAGCUAUCAUGGCUGGACAUUAUGGGAAUGCAAAGUCAGAAUUUGCAAUUCUAAAUUCCAGUUCCAAUUCCUUGACCCCAGAUGAGGGAUGAGCUUAAAAUUACAAGGAAGCCAUGAAGUGAGACAGUAUGCUGAAAUUAAAUGGACCCAAAAGGGAGUUUCAAGGUGGCAGAGAGAUGGCCAAAGUCUAGAGACAUGCUCCAGAAUUCUGAGGGAACAGUUCUCUAAGGAAGGCACAAAGUAUCACCAGGUGCCUUAUGAUAUACUGACUUCCCUGUCUUGUAACUCUUUU